rnacentral:rRNA from 1 species
GACGAACGCUGGCGGCGUGCCUAAUACAUGCAAGUCGAACGCUGAAGGAGGAGCUUGCUCUUCUGGAUGAGUUGCGAACGGGUGAGUAACGCGUAGGUAACCUGCCUGGUAGCGGGGGAUAACUAUUGGAAACGAUAGCUAAUACCGCAUAACAGUAGAUGUUGCAUGACAUUUGCUUAAAAGGUGCAAUUGCACCACUACCAGAUGGACCUGCGUUGUAUUAGCUAGUUGGUGGGGUAACGGCUCACCAAGGCGACGAUACAUAGCCGACCUGAGAGGGUGAUCGGCCACACUGGGACUGAGACACGGCCCAGACUCCUACGGGAGGCAGCAGUAGGGAAUCUUCGGCAAUGGACGGAAGUCUGACCGAGCAACGCCGCGUGAGGGAAGAAGGUUUUCGGAUCGUAAAGCUCUGUUGUAAGAGAAGAACGAGUGUGAGAGUGGAAAGUUCACACUGUGACGGUAUCUUACCAGAAAGGGACGGCUAACUACGUG